rnacentral:rRNA from 1 species
CCCGCACAAGCGGAGGAACAUGUGGUUUAAUUCGAUGAUACGCGAGGAACCUUACCUGGGCUUAAAUGGGAGUGACGUUAUCAGAGAUGGUAAUUUCUUCGGACACUCUUCAAGGUGCUGCAUGGUUGUCGUCAGCUCGUGCCGUGAGGUGUCGGGUUAAGUCCCAUAACGAGCGCAACCCUUACUGUUAGUUGCCAUCGGGUAAAGCCGGGGACUCUAGCGGGACUGCCACCGUAAGGUGAGAGGAAGGUGGGGAUGACGUCAAAUCAGCACGGCCCUUAUGUCCAGGGCUACACACGUGUUACAAUGGCCGGUACAGAGGGCAGCUACACUGCGAAGUGAUGCCAAUCCCGAAAGCCGGUCUCAGUUCGGAUCGAAGUCUGCAACCCGACUUCGUGAAGUUGGAUUCGCUAGUAAUCGCGCAUCAGCCAUGGCGCGGUGAAUACGUUCCCGGGCCUU